CAGAACACCGUUCCUGUAUUCGCCGCCAUCUUAAACUAACCUCCUGUCUUAAUUUAGCCACAUAACCUAUCAAUCAAUUGAUACCAACACGCCAACUUUUUUUCAAGGUUGCAUACUUGACAAAAAAAACUUCACACUGAUGGCAUUGUAAACAAAAGAAUGCUAGAGAAUAAAUUAUUGGAUAAUUAUUUAAAUUUAUUUAAUUAGUAAACAAUCACCUGGACCAAUGGUAUCAGAAAUAAAUUAUGAAAAAAAUGGAAUAUUAUUUAAUAUUAAUCUAGCUUUGGAUGAAUAAAAAGCAUUAUAAAUGUAUGGUUAAUAUUACUCAAUGGAAGCAGUUAUUUAACAUACACUUGGAGAUAACAUCGAUAGUGAUGAGCCAGAAGAAAAUAUUUUAAUAUCACAUCCAUCAGAUCCAUCAUAGCCUACACCAUGAUUCAGUUCAUAUAAGUCUAGAUAGUAUAUUAAUAUACACACAAGAAGAUUUUCAUGUAAAAUUCAACCAAAUUAACAUUGAUUAACACAUAAUCAGCUUUUAUAUCAACUCGAGGGAUCAUGCAAAGUUUAUUAGAGGCAGAGAGUUGGAAUAAGUUGUGGAACUGAUAUAAAACUCUGCUUCAAAUUUCGUGAGUUGUCUUACAAAUGCUAUAGCAGACUUGAUGAUAUGUUCAAGAACAUGGAAAGAUAAACUGAUUGAUGCUGAGUAAGAUGUAUCUUUCAUGAAGAGCAGAAGCAGCUCAUGAUUAUCUGAUGAUUGUCAAUAAUAGAUCAGCGAUGUUGGCGUUUAUUGAUCAGCAGUAAAAUGAUACUAAAAGACAACAUUAUGUUACAUGCCUUUAACGAAUAAU